UUGACAUCUCCCAUCUUCCAAUUUGAAAUUCUCAUACAGCCUACUAAAUCAUUCCACCUUACAGUUCAAUCAUACUAAAAUCACAUGGAAACAAAAGAAUAUGCAGACAAGUCGUGUAAAGAAAAUUAACAGUGUGUGCACAGAUUCAAAGGGAAGAGAAUAUAGGGACACCUGGUAGGGUGGCACCUGCAUCAACAAUGAAUAUAUUGCCAGACACAUAUUCUGAGGAGUCAUGGAUUAAGUAUCGGACCAGCGACGUUAGUGCCGGAUCUGAGGUGCCGUACGUUUGUAAAGGGACAGUUCUCAAAGCAACAUUAGUUAGCCAAUCCUUUUGCAUAAGACCCUCUGUGAUCUCAGAUUUGAACAGUCCAGGUGAUAUUGAGUUCACUCUGAUUUUAUGCAACCCCAAUUCCAGAGCCAUGACCUUGGUCAUGGUGUUUAAGCCCGCCUUUGAAGAACAAUAGGCAACAGCUCCAGGUAAUUGGCCACGGUGAAGACCAGUAAUAGAAGAAAUAUUAAUGAUAGAUCCUCCUCGUUUCGAGUCGCGCAUACGUAUGCAGACAGAUUUGGACACUAACCAGGAUCCAGUCAAAUUUGUCCUCACUACAUGAUUCCACUCCUGCUCAGACAAAUCCAGCGGACUCUUCACGCUACCUCUAACACCAGCAUUAUUUAACAGAGCAUCGAUUCCGCCAAAGGCUUCCCAAGCAAUCUGCACCGACCUAUCAAUUGCAGGCCCAUCAGCGCAUACGUCAAGUUCCACAGCAACAGCUCGUGGACCAGAAGUGGACUUAUUAUUAGCCGAUGAAGGAGAAGGAUGCUGGUUGAUUUCUUCACAGAGAGAUUUGAGACGAUCAACGCGACGAGCGGCAGCAACAAUCCUGCAGCCGGCUUUGGCAAGGUUAAGACAGAAGUCUCGGCCUAAACCAGAAGAGGCACCGGUGAUCAGGACCACCUUGUUCUGUAGGUCGCACCAUGGCUCGAGCUGGGCUGAGACCUGCUCCGCCAUUUGAUGUUGAGAGGAAAACAGUUGUAACAUCAAAAGCUUGAAACAGAGGGAAGAUAUAUUU
rnacentral:misc_RNA from 1 species